rnacentral:lncRNA from 1 species
UCUCCAAAUACAUUCUACAGUACUGAGGGUUGCAACUGUAACAUUCAAAUAUAGGGAGGACACACUUCAACACAUAACAGCCACUUAUAUCACAUAGAGACUGCAAUGAUCUUUCUAGUAUUUCUAUACACUUUGCACUGUAGCUGGUUUUGUUCCCCUAAUUUCUAAACUCUCUGACUUAAAAUCUGUCUGGUCAACCAUUUCUAUGCAGUAGUUCAAAUGAAUUGAUGGUUUUCUGUGAUAUUGCCUCAUAAUUUGCAUCCUUUCCAGAUAUUUGUUCUCAAGCAAAAGUGAAACUCCCUGCAUCAUCACUUCCUCAUUCUGCUGCUGCCCUGGAGCCCUCACACACCCGCCCCAAGAGCCAGAGCCUCGGGGACCAGAAAACCUCACACUCAGCGGCUCAGCUUUUUAAUAAGGACCCUUACAGUCACGCAUCGCCCAGCCAUUGGAAGAGGAUUGAGAAAGCAAAGAUUAAAAUGAUCUGCUUCAAGUUUCUGAUGUCGAAAGAAUUUUUCAGGAAACUUCUGGUCACUUACGGGAUGUGAUUGCAAAAUCUCAAGAAAAUGCAACUGAACUGAGUUCCGGCACAAAGAGCCUUGUGAAGAUUUAUUUCAAGUUCCUAAUAUAAAAGUAGACGUUCUCAGACAAGCCCUGGUAAGUCUGUUACCAUUAAAACCUUGUCUUUUUUUCCAUCUAUCUUUAAAACUUCAUUCUGGAAGCAAAUGUGGAUCUUUAAAAAUGAAUAUACAUUAACGCAUCAAUAAGCAAUUGCUUGAAAAUGAGUCUUAAAGGAAUGAGAGAUAGCACGGCUCUCAUUUCUGUACUGACAUGUCAGGACAUGUGACUUGGGCUGACUGCAGAGUGCUUCAGAGAAAAGUUUCCAGCAGGCUUGGGGAGAUUGCAGAGCAGCUGUGGAGGGGGGAGUCUCGGGAUGAGGCUGGGAGGUGAAGGUGAACUACAGAGCAGAGGAUCAGGAAUCCAAGCAUACUGAACGAAGAGAACACUGCAGCCAGCUACAGCUCUGCAGACACUCUGUUGUGUGGCUUAAGAUGAUGUGAAAAGUUCCUAUCUAAUUAAAGGGAAACCCCUCAAAGCUUAAUCAUCAUUGUGUACAAGACCCGUCUUAGCAACUUCCUUGCACAGAGAUGCUAU